rnacentral:rRNA from 1 species
UGGGGAAUAUUGUGCAAUGGGGGAAACCCUGACACAGCGACGCCGCGUGAGCGAAGAAGGCCUUCGGGUCGUAAAGCUCAAUAGUAUGGGAAGAAAUAAAUGACGGUACCAUACGUAAGCCCCGGCUAACUACGUGCCAGCAGCCGCGGUAAUACGUAGGGGGCGAGCGUUGUCCGGAAUUACUGGGCGUAAAGAGCACGUAGGCGGCUAUAAAAGUCAGAUGUGAAAAACCUGGGCUCAACCGAGGGUGUGCAUCUGAAACUAAAUAGCUUGAGUCAAGGAGAGGAGAGCGGAAUUCCUGGUGUAGCGGUGAAAUGCGUAGAGAUCAGGAAGAAUACCAGUGGCGAAAGCGGCUCUCUGGACUUGAACUGACGCUGAGGUGCGAAAGCGUGGGGAGCAAACAGG